CCUGCAAUCCGCUAUAGCAGGGGAGAAUACCUCGCUUGAGGGUCGCAGUUGGGCGGCAGCGCCGCUGAACCGGUGUUGAUGAAUGGGUCCUGUGCAAUGAAGAACCGUGAACCAUGUCAGAUGGGGAACCAAGCAGCAUUAAGUGGUUAUCUUCAUGUGCCGCAGGUCAGCCUGUUCUGAGCCGGAACAGCGGAAAGCGCGCCUGAGUGCGUAUUCGAAGCCAGGG
rnacentral:SRP_RNA from 1 species